UUUAACUGAAGAGUUUGAUCAUGGCUCAGAUUGAACGCUGGCGGCAGGCUUAACACAUGCAAGUCGAGCGGAGAGAGGUAGCUUGCUACUGAUCUUAGCGGCGGACGGGUGAGUAAUGCUUAGGAAUCUGCCUAUUAGUGGGGGACAACAUUUCGAAAGGAAUGCUAAUACCGCAUACGUCCUACGGGAGAAAGCAGGGGAUCUUCGGACCUUGCGCUAAUAGAUGAGCCUAAGUCGGAUUAGCUAGUUGGUGGGGUAAAGGCCUACCAAGGCGACGAUCUGUAGCGGGUCUGAGAGGAUGAUCCGCCACACUGGGACUGAGACACGGCCCAGACUCCUACGGGAGGCAGCAGUGGGGAAUAUUGGACAAUGGGCGGAAGCCUGAUCCAGCCAUGCCGCGUGUGUGAAGAAGGCCUUAUGGUUGUAAAGCACUUUAAGCGAGGAGGAGGCUACUUUAGUUAAUACCUAGAGAUAGUGGACGUUACUCGCAGAAUAAGCACCGGCUAACUCUGUGCCAGCAGCCGCGGUAAUACAGAGGGUGCAAGCGUUAAUCGGAUUUACUGGGCGUAAAGCGCGCGUAGGCGGCUAAUUAAGUCAAAUGUGAAAUCCCCGAGCUUAACUUGGGAAUUGCAUUCGAUACUGGUUAGCUAGAGUGUGGGAGAGGAUGGUAGAAUUCCAGGUGUAGCGGUGAAAUGCGUAGAGAUCUGGAGGAAUACCGAUGGCGAAGGCAGCCAUCUGGCCUAACACUGACGCUGAGGUGCGAAAGCAUGGGGAGCAAACAGGAUUAGAUACCCUGGUAGUCCAUGCCGUAAACGAUGUCU
rnacentral:rRNA from 1 species